UGGGGAAUAUUGCACAAUGGGGGGAACCCUGAUGCAGCGACGCCGCGUGAGCGAAGAAGUAUCUCGGUAUGUAAAGCUCUAUCAGCAGGGAAGAAGAUGGACGGUACCUGACUAAGAAGCUCCGGCUAAAUACGUGCCAGCAGCCGCGGUAAUACGUAUGGAGCAAGCGUUAUCCGGAUUUACUGGGUGUAAAGGGAGCGCAGGCGGCGCGCCAAGUCUGGUGUGAAACCCCGGGGCUCAACCCCGGGACUGCAUUGGAAACUGGCGUGCUGGAGUGUCGGAGGGGCAGGCGGAAUUCCUGGUGUAGCGGUGAAAUGCGUAGAUAUCAGGAGGAACACCGGUGGCGAAGGCGGCCUGCUGGACGACAACUGACGCUGAGGCUCGAAAGCGUGGGGAGCAAACAGG
rnacentral:rRNA from 1 species